UGACCUAUGGUGUAACGGUAGCACUACGGUUUCUGGAGCCGUCUGUCAAGGUUCGAAUCCUUGUAGGUCAA
rnacentral:tRNA from 1 species